rnacentral:rRNA from 1 species
GUACGGAGGGUGCAAGCGUUGUCCGGAUUUAUUGGGUUUAAAGGGUGCGUAGGCGGCCCGUUAAGUCAGUGGUGAAAGGUAUCAGCUUAACUGAUGAAGUGCCAUUGAAACUGAAGGGCUUGAGUACAGACGAGGUAGGCGGAAUUUAUGGUGUAGCGGUGAAAUGCAUAGAUACCAUAAAGAACACCGAUAGCGAAGGCAGCUUACUAGACUGAGACUGACGCUGAGGCACGAAAGCGUGGGGAGCAAACAGGAUUAGAUACCCCAGUAGUCC